ensembl:lncRNA
CGGGGCUCCGGCUCCCCGCCCCAGCCCGGGCGCAGGUCCUGCGCGCCGCCCGCGAACUGCUGCGGGGGGCGAAGGAAGGCGCGCUCUUGGCUCAAUUUGACUAUUGUUCUUUUCCCGGCUGGGUCCCUAAUGAGUAAGAUGAGCUUCCGGGUGUCGCUUGAAAUCCCUUGGGUCUGCCUGCAAAUACGGCCUGUGUUAGGUGCGGUGGCAUUCCGAAUCAACGCGCGUCGCAACCUGAUUCUGUCCGACAGCUCCAGGAAGGGAGACCCUUUCCAGGGCCGAAAUUGGGCUCUUGUCUAACACUCGGAAAUGAAUCGUCCAAGGAGACACGUGUGCUGAUGAAGCAAGAGAUUUUAUUGGGAAAGGGCACCUGGGUGGAGAGCAGUAGGAGUCUGAAGUAAACAAACAUACGACAAUAAAAAUUUCGUCUAUAAAGAUGAAUUGCUUCUACUGUAAAGGCAUACAGGAGAUUCAGAUGAACCUCAAUCAAUAGUUUCUUGUGAGGUCCUGGUUCUAAGAGCAGACACGACAGGUAAGCAGCAGACCUUUUAGAACAUAGCCUCGAUAAUGCUGUGAUUCUUGGUUGGGCAAGCUCCAUGUUACAAGAGACCACUUUUGAUCCACCUAAAAUCAGGUCUUG